rnacentral:rRNA from 1 species
GACGGAGGAUGCAAGCGUUAUCCGGAAUUAUUGGGCGUAAAGCGUCCGCCGGUGGCGAUUUAAGUCUGCUGUCAAAGACCACAGCUUAACUGUGGGCAGGCAGUGGAAACUGGAUUGCUAGAGUGCGGCAGGGGUAGAGGGAAUUCCCAGUGUAGCGGUGAAAGGCGUAGAUAUUGGGAAGAACACCAGUGGCGAAGGCGCUCUACUGGGCCGCAACUGACACUCAUGGACGAAAGCUAGGGGAGCGAAGGGG